rnacentral:rRNA from 1 species
AAUUUUGGACAAUGGGCGCAAGCGUGAUCCACCCAUGCCGCGUGCGGGAAGAAGGCCUUGGGGUUGUAAACCGUUUUUGUCAGGGAAGAAACGGUUUGGUAUAAUACCCCGAAAUAAUGGCGGUACCAGAAGAAUAAGCCCCGGAAAAUUACGUCCCAGCAGCCGGGGUAAUAAAGUGGGGCGCAAGUUUUUUUGGGAAUUUCUGGGUAAAAAGCGUGCGCAGGCGGCUUUACAAGACAGAUGUGAAAUCCCGGGGCUCAACCUGGGAACUGCAUUUGUGACUGCAAGUCUGGAGUGCGGCAGAGGGGGAUGGAAUUCCGGGUGUAGCAGUGAAAUGCGUAGAUAUGGGGAGGAACACCGAUGGAGAAGGCAAUUCCCUGGCCCUACACAGACGGUGAUGCAAGAAAGCGUGGGGAACAAACAGGAUUAUAUACCCGGGUGGUUCCACGCCCAAAAGCGAAGUCAACUUGGUGGUGGACAGCUUGCUGUUCAGUGUCGAAGCUAACGCGU